rnacentral:rRNA from 1 species
UACGUAGGUGGCAAGCGUUGUCCGGAUUUAUUGGGUUUAAAGGGUGCGUAGGCGGCCCUGUAAGUCAGUGCUGAAAUAUCCCGGCUUAACCGGGAGGGUGGCAUUGAUACUGCGGGGCUAGAGUACAGAUGAGGUAGGCGGAAUUGACGGUGUAGCGGUGAAAUGCUUAGAUAUCGUCAAGAACACCUAUAGCGAAGGCAGCUUACUAGGCUGUAACUGACGCUGAGGCGCGAAAGUGUGGGGAUCAAACAGG